rnacentral:rRNA from 1 species
CAGCAGCCACGGGAAUACGUAGGGUGCAAGCGUUAUCCGGAAUUAUUGGGCGUAAAGAGCUCGUAGGCGGUUUGUCGCGUCUGCUGUGAAAACUGGAGGCUCAACCUCCAGCCUGCAGUGGGUACGGGCAAACUAGAGUGCGGUAGGGGAGAUUGGAAUUCCUGGUGUAGCGGUGGAAUGCGCAGAUAUCAGGAGGAACACCGAUGGCGAAGGCAGAUCUCUGGGCCGUAACUGACGCUGAGGAGCGAAAGCAUGGGGAGCGAACAGGAUUAGAACCCCCGUAGUCCCUGUCUCUUAUACA